CUGCCCGGCGUGGCGCCCCCGCGACGAGCGGAGGCGGCGGUGCGGGCGGUCGCGGAGGUGCGCGUCCCCGCCCGCCCGGUGGCCCGCGGAAACGCCCUCCCUGCAGGAGCCUCUUUGGGAAACCGGCGGAGGGGGGCGACUGAGGCGGGGAGACGCGACAGCUGUCUGCAGGCGUCCCGAGACCCGGGGCCUGGGCACCUGCAGGGCGCCAGCUUGCACUUGUGCCCUUCGCUGCGUCGGGGUGACCGCGGCCUGCACUCUCAGGCCUCAGUUUACCCUUGUGUACAGUGGGCGACGGCGACCUCCUGGGCUAGAAGGCACGUUCCGUGAGCACUUCCGGGACUCGGUCACGGGGCCGGUCUGGCGCGGGGAGGGUGAGUUGUCACCCCGCACACACCUGGCGGCGCCCGGGACGUGGCUGUCUCGGAUUGAGGCGGAGCUCAAGGCGUCGGGCGGCCGGGAUGCCUCCCGCGUCCCCGAGCGGAGGUGGCGGCGGGCGCGUCCCCGCGGACCAGGGAGGGUGAACCCGGCUCUAGGGCCCGCUCAGGGCGGGGCGGGGCGGUCAGCGCGGCCCCGGCCACCUCUGCGGGCCGCGGUGGGACCCGAGCCCGCGCCCUCGUCCCGGCCUUCUCGCACCGGGAGCUGUUGCUUUCAGCCCACCUCCUUAGGGCUUUAAAAUAAAGACUCCAGCGAGCUCUGCUGCACUUCGUCUCGCACGUCUCACCGCUGCUAGCUGAAAGCCCCUAAGUACGGCCUUUAAUUGAUAAGCCAUUGAAAGCAAAGCCUAGAUUUUCUGUAUAUAAAAUGAAUAUCGAAGCUGGGAGUGUGACUCAGGCGGAGCGCUCGCCUGGCAUGUUCCAGGCCCUGGGUUCCUCAGAGGACGAGAAGAUGUGAACAGGUAGCGCUGUAAGUGGUAACGUGAGGUUGCUAUGGAAUGAUUGGUAGUUACUCCAGUGUUAGUCACAAGCUGGGCUCUGUGGCCACACCUGGCAUUCCAGCAACUCUGAGGCUGAGGCAAGAGGACCACAAGCUUGAGGCCAGCCUCAGCCACUUAGCAAGACCCUGUCUCAAAAUAAUAAAAGGGCUGGGAUACAGCUCAGUGGUAAAGUAUCCUUAGGUUCAAUCCCCACCACUAAAAGAAACAACAACAAAAUCCCACAAACAAGCCGGGCUAGGUAGCGCAUUCCUGUUAUCCCAGCAGCUCUGGAGGCUGAGGUAGGAGGAUCACAAGUUCAAAGCCAGCCUCAGCAACAGCAAGGUGCUGAGCAACUCAGUGAGACCCUGUCUCAAUACAAAAUAGGGCUGGGGAUGUGGCUCAGUGUCCAGAGUUCAAUCCCUAGUGUCUAGGACUUAGGGGAUGCCGGGUAGGGGACCAGUCCGUGGUAAAUGCAUGCUGCCUUGCUGUGCAGCAGAGGCCUCUCGAGAGCUGGGAGUUGCUCUGAGCAGCUCUCUUCUGUCCUUCCCUCCUUCCUUCCUUCCUUCCUUCCCUCCUUCCUUCCUUCCUAUGCUGAGGAUUGAACGUAGGGAUGUCUUACCACUGAGCUACAUGGUAUACCCACAGUCAGGUUUUGGUGUUUUGCUUUUGUACCAGGGACUGAACCCAUGGGGGGCUUAACCACUGAGCCACAUCCCUAGCCCUUUUUGUUUUUUUUUUUUUUUGUUUAGAGACAGGGUCUCGCUAAGUUGCUGAGGCUGGCUCUGAACUCACCAUCUCCUGCUUCAGCCUCCCAGCCGAGGGGAUUACAGGUGUGCACCACCAUGCCAGGCUCAUUUUUAUUUUUUUGAGACAGGGUCUGACUGAGCUGCAGAGCCUGGCCUCAAACCUGCAAUCCUCCUGCCUCCGACUCCAGAGUUGCUGGGAUGACAGACCAGCACCAAUGCUCCUGGCUCUCUACCCUUUAGUAAUUACAAUUUCCUUUUAAGUGUAAAUUUCCUUCAUUAAAGGGGAGAUUUGUAUUUUAUUUUAAGCAGAUGAAAGGGAGUGGAAGCAUUUUUUUCAGUGUUGGCUGCUUCUCAGUUUCUUUUUGCUCAAAAUAAUCAACAUACCUAGAGGCAGGAGGAGGGGUGGCCUGUUCUGACUUCCUUCACCUUGUUUGUCAUCAGUUUGUUUUUUUUUUCCUCUCCUAAGCAAAUUUGAGUCGUGAUUUCAAAGCCCAACUGGGAUAGAAUCCCUUCUUUAUUAACAUGGUUCAUCUGGCUGGGGUUGUGGCUCGGUGGUGGAGUGCCCGCCUAGCAUGCAUGAGGCACUGGGUUCGAUCCUCAGAACCACAUAAAUGUGGAAUAAAGAUAUUGUGUCCACCUAAAACUAAGAAAUAAAAUAAAUAUUUAAAAAAAAGAAAAGAGGUUACUUUCUAAAAAAAAAUUAACAUGGUUCAUCUUAGAGAAUCUUUAAAAAGUAACAUAAUUUUUAAGACACACACUAGGUGUGUGCUAAGUUUCUGUUACUGUAACCAGUACCCAAGAUGAUCAGGUCAGGAUGGGCACAGUCUGCACACCUGCAAGCCCAGCAAUCUGGGAGGCUGACACAGGAGGACCACAAGCUCAAGGCCAGCCUCAGCAACAUAGCAAGGUCCUGUCUCAAAAGAAACAAAGGUCGGGGUGCAGCUCAGUGGUAUGUGGGGACAGGUGCAUGGAGUACUGCAUACAUGGCAUACAUUAAGGGUGUCUGAGUGGCAGGCCGCUCCCCUCGUGCUUGGUGUGUGAGUGGCAAACCACUUACUCCUUAGGCACAGCCCUGGGCGUGAGGCGCAUGUUGCAGUCCCUGCACCUGCUCCAUGCCCCACUGGAUUGGUCACUGCAAGGACAGUUAGACGUGGCAUUGGUGGCUGCUGUAAUCUGCCUAGCUGCUGCCAGAGUAUACAUAUAUUGUAACUGCGCAAUAAAAUCAGACCUGCGUCCUGCUUGGUCUCCGGAGGCCUUGAUUAGCGACUCCGCAGCCACACUCUACCCUGUUCCGAG
rnacentral:lncRNA from 1 species